UACGUAGGGUCCGAGCGUUGUCCGGAAUUAUUGGGCGUAAAGAGCUCGUAGGCGGCUUGUCACGUCGAUUGUGAAAGCCCGAGGCUUAACCUCGGGUCUGCAGUCGAUACGGGCUAGCUAGAGUGUGGUAGGGGAGAUCGGAAUUCCUGGUGUAGCGGUGAAAUGCGCAGAUAUCUGGAGGAACACCGGUGGCGAAGGCGGCAUCCUGGACCAACACUGACACUGAGGAGCGAAAGCCAGGGGAGCAAACGGG
rnacentral:rRNA from 1 species